UACGUAGGGUGCUAGCGUUAUCCGGAAUCAUUGGGCGUAAAGGGUACGUAGGCGGAGAAGCAAGUUAGAAGUGAAAUCCUAUAGCUCAACUAUAGUAAGCUAUUAAAACUGCUAAUCUUGAGGUAUGGAAGGGAAAGUGGAAUUCCUAGUGUAGCGGUGAAAUGCGCAGAUAUUAGGAGGAAUACCGGUGGCGAAGGCAGCCCCCUGGGCAUGUACUGACGCCCAUGUGCGAAAGCGUGGGGAGCAAACAGG
rnacentral:rRNA from 1 species